CGACGGCCGCGGCCGCCGCUAGUCGCGACUCGCGCCGCGCUCCCAUCGCGCGUGUCCGCCGCCACGCAUGCCACAAACCUUACACGACACCGACACUAUACAUCAACCGCUAAUGCGAUUUGUUUACAAUAUCCCCAUCACGUGGUCACCCCAAUGAUGGCGGAACGGGCGGACACCUGACUGCCGCAUACCACACUCCAGACACCAACGCUCCAGGAGCGGACGACUGAGCCCGGUGGCCUUGCGUAGUAUAAGCAGCUGCGUGCGAUGUCUGCCAACGUGCUCGGGUAACCGUGGUAACCGUGGUAACCGUGGCGGGCUACCGGCACGCGGUGUACGGCGGCGCGGCGUACCACGCGCGCGCGCCCGCCGUACCGCUCAACGCCAAUGGCGAACCUAUUAAAUUACCAGAAAACCUGGAGAGUCUACCGCGCGCAGAACACUUCGCGGCGCAGAGGCACCGGUGGAACACCAAUGAGGAAAUUGCUGCCAUACUCAUCAGUUUUGACAAGCACAGCGAAUGGCAGUCGAAGGAAGUCAAGAUACGGUGAGUGGUGGACUUUAUUUC